GAUGAACGCUGGCGGCGUGCUUAACACAUGCAAGUCGAACGGAAAGGCUCCUGCUUGCAGGGGUACUCGAGUGGCGAACGGGUGAGUAACACGUGGGUGAUCUGCCCUGCACUUCGGGAUAAGCCUGGGAAACUGGGUCUAAUACCGGAUAGGACGAUGGUUUGGAUGCCAUUGUGGAAGGUUUUUCGGUGUGGGAUGAGCUCGCGGCCUAUCAGCUGGUUGGUGGGGUAAUGGCCUACCAAGGCGUCGACGGGUAGCCGGCCUGAGAGGGUGUACGGCCACAUUGGGACUGAGAUACGGCCCAGACUCCUACGGGAGGCAGCAGUGGGGAAUAUUGCACAAUGGGCGCAAGCCUGAUGCAGCGACGCCGCGUGGGGGAUGACGGCCUUCGGGUUGUAAACUCCUUUCGCUAGGGACGAAGCGCAAGUGACGGUACCUGGAGAAGAAGCACCGGCUAACUACGUG
rnacentral:rRNA from 1 species